ensembl:lncRNA
CAGCACCAGCAGUGUUUCCCCCCCACCUCCCCCCAUUCCCCGCAUCCCCCGUCGGGGUCCGUCGGCUCCGUGGCCUCAGGGCGGCGCUCGCUGGCCGGGAUCGGCCCCCGCUCCGCGCUACCUCCGCACCAGCGCUGCCAUCCGCGGUGCGGCCUUUGUUUGUUUCCUCUGCCAAGCCGAACACCAGCAUUUUAACCGAGCUUUUUUUGUGUUUUGAUUUUUCUUUCCCCCCCCAAACUUUAAGCGAAAGAAGGGAAAAAGCAAAGAGAGAAAGGGUGAACUGGAAAUGCAGACGGUGUGCAGAAACGAAACGAUCCCACAGCUCAGCGAGAGAAUACUCCACAGAUGCGGCAAAUCUUCUAAAUUAAUCGAAUAAGACUUUAAGUCGCAACAGGAGCUUUGGGUGGAGCGGGUAAGGCUGAACCUCGAGAAAGAAUCCAGCAGCACUUAAAAGGGAGAAGGAAACGUUGGAUAGCAUUAAAGAAAAGGAGUUGGCAAAACACUUCCAGCAAACCUGCAGUCGGAUACGAGCAUCUACUUAUCCGACAUUAAACCUCUCUCUUCGCUAAGACUUUAUCGGUCCAACAAUUCAUUCGAUUUUUUUUUCCUAUUUUAUUUUUCAUGGGGAAAUCUGACCAAAAAUCUCAGUUUUAGUCUUCUUUUCUUUCUUUCUCCCCCCGAUUAAUCUUUUAAUUAUUUUUAGUUUAUACAUUUCAGGUUAUUUGGGAUUACGUUUAAAUCUCCGAAAAAAAAAUCAGUUAAGAAUGAAUAAAUUGAAGAGUAAUAUUGAUAAGAAUUCUAUGGAAAGACCCAACAGAAAUGCAUCCUUCUCUGGGUGUCCCCUUAAACAAAAUACCGCAUUUCUUCCUAUCCUACCAAUUUGUUGGAAAACUUAAUUAAGCUCGGCUACCUUCCAUUAUUUAUAUAAACCCUCCGUCCGGGAGACUUUAAGAGGUUUCUUCUCCGGUUUCCAACAUUGUUAUUAGAAAUCCAUAAAGCAGGGGAGGGGCAGGAAAUUAAAUUUAAAGGUACCUCAUUACGGCACAACUGCUUUCCUAUGGCAGCGGACGGAGACAACACAUGGCGGCAUAAAAGGCUGAGUCCCCCCAGCACGUAGACUUGGCAAUCCUCUCGAAAUGACCUUUUAAUUCCAAGCCUAGCAAGCUUCCGUCCACACAGCGGGCUCUAAGAGUCGGCAGAGAGGGGAGGAAAAUAAACUAAAAUAGAAGAGAGGACACCGAUGCGAAUGGAAGAGCCACGCAGAUGGAAAGCGUGGGGCGGAUGGUGGUUAGUAGUGGGUUUGACUGGGUGGGCAUCAGGAGAGGUAACCGCUAUUGGGGGGGAUUUGUUCCAGAAGUUCCCAGCUUUGCUCCAAGAGGGAUUUCCCUGCCGUGUGUCUGCAGUCCCCGAUUCGUUUCCCGCUGGAUGGUGCAGAUUAAGUGGGUUUCAGCCCAACGCAGAAACAAAGAAACGAUGCUAACCGUGAAGAGUCGGAACCGAGAAUAGACGGAACUCUCAACAGACGGUGCGGAGAAGUGGAGGUGCGAACAAAGAUCGGUUUUGCUCCCGAUCUUUGUUUUAAAAAAGAGCUUGAACUUUGAGAAGACAGAGGAAGAAAUGAUCAUAGAAGCUAAAGAAGGGGGAAGACGAUCAGCUCUGCUCGCCCGUCCGCAGAAGCAGCCAACAGCUUUCUAUCCGGACGGCUGCAGCUGAUGAGAAGCAUUAAGUAUUCUCGGGAAUCUACACGUGGGAAACUACAAAAAGACCAACACGUUACGAACACCACCUCCCUCCCCAGCACUCGGCGAGGCCGAAUCCAGCACCGACUUACCCAUUCCGCUCCUUCUCUUUUUAAUUAAGAUCACUUUUUAAGCAAACUCUCCCACUCCGAAGAAAAAAUAGCAAUAAUAAUAAUAAUAAGAGCCAAGGAAAUAUAUAAAGAAGAGGCAGCCCCACUCGUUGGCAGAGCAUCCUCCCACCACUUGUUAGAGCGAACCUUCCCCAGCUCCGGCCGAUUUCGCGUUAUUUCAUUUUUCUCACUCCUUUCCUAGACUGGCGAGAGAGCAAAGGUGCCGUAAAUUAAUUUUUAACUAAAAGCCCUUUGUGUUAACGAAGGGGGGGGAAAAAAAAAGCAACAACAAACCAACAACCCACCUUCCCUCCUCCCCCUGUUUAGCAGUCUAGACAAAACCACUCUAUUUUGACGGCGGACUGCGGGCUUUCCCUGCUCGCCGCCCAUUCCUGAUUGUUUGCAUUCGCCCCCUGUAAAGCCUGGGGAGGGGACUUCAGUUUUUGUUUAUUUGUUUUACCCACCUUCGAUUUCUGGUGCCGUUUUAGCAUCUUUAGACCCUUGCCUAAAGACGGUAUUUCGUGCCGCGACAAAAAAGAAAAGGCCUAUCUUCUCUUUUUAUUUCCCCCCGGUCCAUAAGGAGCCUCCAGCAGAACGGACACCUCGAAAUCCCCAAUUGCGGUGGGUGCGAAGCCACGUCAUCCCAGAGCCGACUGAGGACAGAGGUUAUGCGGCACCGGGGAAGCUGCGGGCCCGGAGGGGUGGCUGGGUGCGGGACCCCCGGUGCCGGCUGCUGCCGACCCUUUUGCACCCCCAAAGGAGGUGCGAGGGGGGAAACAUCCCCUCAUCCCCCUCCUUUAGAGCUAAGGAGCCGAGGGUGGGUGGCGGAGAGGGGAGUGCUGGGAGCUGCCGGGUGACUGGUGGGCUCCGGCUUUGCGAAAACGGUAUUUUGGGAUAAGGUGGGGGGGGGAGAGGGGGGCAAGUCUCUGCCGAUUGACUUAUCUGUUAGAAAAUGCGUGUGCAGGCGGCUUCCGGCGGGGCUCACCAAUCCGGGGCGGACGAGGCUGCUAAGACCAUCCCCUGGUGUCAAUUUUAAUGGGAAACUUCACCGCUUUGCGGGGGGGGAAGAGGGGGGGGGGGGGUGCCGCUGCUGCCGCCGCGUAUUUUUUAAUACGAGGACGCGCGGCUGCGGCUCACGCCGACUUUCCCGUUGUUCCUCCCCGCUCCUCCACUCCGACGCGUUUACUCACACCGCUAUUUCCAGCCUCCCCAUUUUUGGUAUGGGGGCUAUUUUGAGAAAACCCUUUCGGAGGUGAAACAAAACCCCUUGGUUAUACCGAGGCACGAAAACCCAUCCCCAAAAAAUCCAAAGCCAAGCCCAACUGCGUGCGCUCAGCCCGAAGCUUUUGCCAUAGGGGAGGGCUCAGCUCUGUCCCCGCAGCCCCAUGGGACAAAUCCUCACGUACCCGCAGUCCAUUUGCCCUCGGGCUGUACAAGUCUACGUGCAGGGGAGGGGAAUUUUGUAUGUUACAUGCAAUAAGGCUGCGGUGCUUUUGGGAAUGGAAAAACCACUUGUCGCGUCGGGACACACAAGGAGGAGCCGGGAGGUGACACGCAGAUCCCCAUUGUGGGGUUAGCUCUGGAGCUUGCCCGGCUCAGGAAGCCGCACCCAGCCUGCUCCGAAUAGGAUUUAUACACUGGAUUAGCUGCCUGGCCUCGCACUGCAAUUUAACAAUCACCGGGGAUUCAUUUUGUCUCUAAGAAAAAAAAAAAUGCGCUUUGUGGCGCAAUCCUCUGCAGGGCUGCAAUUGCCAAGGGAAAAACAAACAAACAACGCAACAACAACGCAACCAAACAUAAAAACCCCAAAUCCCUACAGCAACUCAGCGGGUUCCCGGUGGUUGGAGGCACCGUUUCCAAAAUGGCUCGAGCCGAGAGCGAGAAGAAAAAGGGGAAAAUUGGUUCUUCGUUAGAAUCUCUUUAAUCCAAUCUCUUCGUUAGUAAUCCGCAUCUCCUUCUGGAAUUAAGCCUGAGGGAAAGGAGUGCUGGAAAUCUGUUCAAGCUCAUGAUGGGAGGAGAUGGUUUAUAACCGCAACUGGUUCUGUAUUCGCGGCACAUACUCAAAAAAUAAAACGGAGCGGAUUUUAGUAGCUACUAAUGGGCAGUUAUUAUAGAAAGGGUAAUCGAAGGGAUUUAAAAGCUUUUGGAAAUUAGAGGUAUAAACCGAAAAUUCAUACAUAUGGAGAGGAAGAGAGAGGAGACUUUUUUCGAAGCUCUCCGAGACCCGGAGGGGUCUUUGCUCUCUUUUCUGUGGUCUCCUUUCCCGAUGCUCCCAGGACUGAGCGCAGCACCCGGAUUGCAGCAGCUGGGUGCUACGAAGUCGGGGGUUUUCCCCCAUUUCAGCGCCUUUCUGCCUCUCUUCUCUUCCAAUCGCUUUCCCACUUGCUCUUUCAACAGCCUUUUGUACAGCAAUGGGGAACGUAGCCAAAAAUCCUCCAUUAAUAAAGAAUAUAAUUCCUCCUUCAGGGUCUGAUCCUGCACUGUGACCCCUCGGGGAGGCGGGGGGGCUUUUCCGUGCAGACUCGUCCCUGUCCUUUCCCCUAUGGGCCAAAGUCCAGGCUCGCUUUGCACACUGGCAGCCCGCGGUGCCUCCACCCCGCCCGGGGGCAAAGGCAGACAGCAGCCCCGGCCCCUCUCCUUGCACUUGUCCUCAGCCUUUUUCCAGAACCGAGAGCCGUCGGGGAACUGGGGAGGAGGAAAAGGAAGGAGAAAUAGGCAUAGAACCUUUAAGGGGAAAGUCGAGGAUUGAGGCGCAGGAUAUCUCGGCUAGAAGGAAUGAAGAUUCGCUCCGAAUGUGUUGUUUUGUUUUUUAACAAAAAAAUCUGUGCUUGGUCGGAAAAGAUUAACCCAAAAGUCCCCGACAAACAACGGCCCUUUGCAGGGGAUGCAAUCACACAAAACAGCCCCAAACCGCCGCCUCUCGAGGCUCACUGCCAGCACGCACUACAGAGCUGUGCCGUCGGGGCACCCCGCUCCCGUCCGACCUUCUGCCGCGUUCCCCACGGCCCUCAUGCCUUCAAACAGAACCCUUCCUUGUAAAAGUCACUUUAUAGCGCCUGAGCCUGAAAACUACCAGGUAACAGCCUUUUUACAACCCGACUCCCAGGACACGGUUUCAUUUCUUUUCUUAACCCUCUUUCCAUCUCUCUCCGGGUUACAUUUCCCAAUGAGAGAUCCCUCCGAAAUUAGCAUGAAUGUAAACGUUCAAACCUUGCAAUGGGAGCCGGUUCACGACCUGCCCUUAAGCUGCAGGAUUUUCAGACUGACUGGAGUUGAAUUCUGAUUCCACCCAGAGGCAUUUUCGGCUUCUGAAACAUCCCUGGGACGUCCAUGAAGGUGGGGAGAGCCCCUCAGUUGGCAGCAGAGAACCAGAGAAACUCCAUAGAUACGUCGGUUUGCUGUUCUUGCUGCUUUUCCUUCUGAUUAAUCACAUGUUCUGGAGCUUGGUAGGGAAAAGAGGUGAAAUUAAUUGUAAAGAAUCACCAGAAAUCCAGGCUGGGAAAAAGCAUGAGAGCAAAUUCUGCUUCACUUCCAUUGGAAGGGGACGGCUGUAAGCACUCCUCUCCCUCUGCCCCUGGCCCUUGUCCGGGGACCUUUGCCUUUGGUUUAUGGCUCUCCUUUGAGCAGUGUCUGUGUCUCGCGCCCUUGACAACAGUCUCCUCUCCUGCAGCUGCUCUGAAGGUUUGGAUCUCAAAUAGAGCAAAAAAAACCAACCAACCAACCAAUCUUCUCCAUCUCUGACUGUCCCUGGUGCUUGGACAUUGUCCUGCCUCUUCGUCUGCCAGUUUUUAUUUAGAAGAAGUGUCUUAAAAGCCCCCAGAAUCACGAGAUAAGUCACAAGAGCAAAGUGAGACUUUGGUUCCUAGCAGCAGAGCUCAGUGUCUUUUCCCUCCAACAGAGCAAAGGAAAGUUGCAGCCCCAUCCUGAAACUAUUUAACUCUCAUCCAUGGGAGAUGGGGGCCUUUUAAGGUCUCUUCUCCCUUCCCCACCCCCAGAGCCACUACCCCUCAUAUAUUAUUUUUACCAAUGUGAUGGGAUUUUUUUUCUCCCUUUCUUGGAGGAGGAGGGAUUUGUGCAGCC